rnacentral:rRNA from 1 species
ACCGGGAAGAGCUCAAAUUUUGAAUCUGGCGGUUCUUUUGGCCGUCCGAGUUGUAAUCUAGAGAAGUGUUUUCCGCGCUGGACCGUGUAUAAGUUUCCUGGAAAGGAACGUCAUAGAGGGUGAAAAUCCCGUCUUUGACACGGACUGCCAGGGCUAUGUGAUGCACUCUCGAUGAGUCGAGUUGUUUGGGAAUGCAGCUCAAAUAGGGUGGUAAAUUCCAUCUAAAGCUAAAUAUAGGCGAGAGACCGAUAGCGAACAAGUACCGUGAGGGAAAGACGAAAAGAACUUUGGAAAGAGAGUUAAACAGUGCGUGAAAUUGCUGAAAGGGAAACGCUUGAUGUCAGUCGCGUCGUCCGGGGAUCAACCUUGCUUAACUGUGAGGCGUACUUCCUGGUCGACGGGUCAGCAUCAGUUUUGACUGUCGGAAAAGGGCUCAAGGAAAGUGGCACUCUCUCGGGAGUGUGUUAUAGACUUGGGUCUUGAAUACGAUGGUUGGGACUGAGGAACUCAGCACGACCCGCAAGGGUAUCGGGGCUUUUGGCCCACGUUCGCGUGCUUAGGAUGCUGGCAU